GAGAGUGUGCAGCAAUGGCUCUGGGGUUACCUCAGCCAAUGAGCUACAAGAACUAAGAGCACUGGCUGUUUUAGCAGCAGAUCUGACACCUCCUCAAUUAGGGCCCCUGGCAGCAGUGCCCAGGGAAAGGUUCUCUAAGGAACAUGAGAGCCCAGCUGGAAAGGCUCUCUCUGCUUUGGCCACUUCUCCUGUCUCUGUGGAUAGGAGCCACAGAAAAUACUGCUGCUGUCAUUGUGGUGAAUCAGACACCCCCUUCUAUCCGUGCAAUGGAAGGGUCAGAGUUCACCAUCGAGUGUACAUUCAACACAAGCAAUAAUUCAACCAAGUGGUUUGGUGAAUGGAAUAAAAUCAGAAACAAUGUAACAGAAAAGGUGUCCAAUGGAACAGAUCAAAUCAUAUCAGCAGACAAAGAAAAGAGGUCUCUUUCCCUCACUGUGAAGAAAGCCGACGUCACUGAUUCUGGAACCUACGUGUGUAGGGUUGGGAGCAAAGAUGGGAUAUAUCCUGGGACCGGAACCCAAGUGACCAUCGAAGAUAAAAGGAGCAAUGCCUCCCAUGUUGUUUUCAUCAUCCGGAUGGUUCUCGGGGCCCUUGUUGUAAUCUUGGCUGUGAUUAUUGUUACAGAGUGCGUGAUUUCAGAAAAGAGGGCUGCUGUCAAUCACACAAUAUGAGGAUCAGCUGUUACAGCGUACAUCUGGAGAUGGAGAUCUCAGACACCUGGUACCCAGGCAUCCCCCCAACACCGUGUUGACCAUCCUGCCUGCCAGAUUCUGCACCUGCAAAUAAACCUUGAACUGAAUGGAGGUUCACAGAUGUUCAAUAUAAGGAGACUCCUCUCUGACACCCCUCUUUGAGGCAGCAGAACCCGGUGAUUGCUGAUGGCUGAGGCAGUCUCAGUGGCUUCUGAGCCAUAGGAAAAUAGGAGAUGAACAUUUCUGUCACCUAAAGAUUCCCCUUUGUGCUACCUAGCAAUCACUUUAGCGGCUCAUGGAACCCUUGAAGUAAACAUGCUCAGAACAGGGGCCAAAAACUCUUCCCUAUAAUUGGUUCAGCUGCUUGUCAGUCAAAGAGGAAAUGGAAACAUCUGCUGGGAAUUGCUGUUCCAUGGGUUCAGACGCCCCCUUGCUGAAGUCAACUGGCGCACAGUUAAGCACAUGCUUAAGCGUUUGCAGGAUUGAAGCCUCUAUAAAGGACCAUGUUUUUAUAACUGGGUUUGUUAAUUGUUUUACACAUGCUGCUCUAAUAGUUAGAUUGUCUUACACCUGAGGCUAAGGCUAUGCACUUCCAAAGUGUUUUAAUACAAUUCUGAUAACUCUGCCUAUUCUUGAUGUCCUUAUAAAUACACAGUCCUUUUUGAAUCUUUCUGUGCUCUUGCUCGCACCGAUUUCUUGUGGCAGUGAGUUCCACUGUUUAAUUACACAUUAGGUUAGAGUAUUUCCUUUUCUCAGUUUGAAUUUCCCACCUUCCAAUUCAGUUGAAUCUCCCCUUGUUCUCAUGUUGCAUGACAGGGAGAACAGAACUUUCCAACCUACCUUCUCUAGACCAAUUAGUAUUUUACAUGUUCCCUCCUGUUCAAUCACUUUUCUAAGGUAAACAAUCCCAGUCUUCUCCAUUUCUCUUCCUAGUAGAGUUUUUCAAUGACCUUGAUCUCCCUCAUCGCUAUUCUCUGAACUCUACAAUAUCGUUUUUGAGAGCAGGUGAGCCAGA